rnacentral:rRNA from 1 species
UAGUAUAGCGGAGAGGCAUCUCUCUGUUAUUAAAGAUUUAUCACUUGAAGAUGGCUGUGCGGCUGAUUAGGUAGUUGGCGGGGUAACCGGGACCCACCCAAGCCUGCGAUCAGUAACUGGUGUGAGAGCACGACCAGUCACACGGGCACUGAGACACGGGCCCGACUCCUACGGGAGGCAGCAGUAAGGAAUAUUGGUCAAUGGACGAAAGUCUGAACCAGCCAUGCCGCGUGGAGGAUGAAGGUCCUCUGGAUUGUAAACUUCUUUUAUAUGGGACGAAAAAAGGUCUUUCUAGAUCGUCUGACGGUACCAUAUGAAUAAGCACCGGCUAACUCCGUG